rnacentral:rRNA from 1 species
CAGUGGGGAAUAUUGGUCCAAGGUGGAAAGUCUGUUCCUGCCCUUCCGCGUGUGUGAAGAAGGUCUUCGGAUAGUAAAGCACUUUAAGUUGGGAGGAAGGGCAUUAAGUUAAUACCUUGCUGUUUUGACGUUACCAACUGAAUAAGCACCGGCUAACUUUGUGCCAGCAGCCGCGGUAAUACGAAGGGUGCAAGCGUUAAUCGGAAUUACUGGGCGUAAAGCGCGCGUAGGUGGUUCAGCAAGUUGGAUGUGAAAUCCCCGGGCUCAACCUGGGAACUGCAUCCAAAACUACUGAGCUAGAGUACGGUAGAGGGUGGUGGAAUUUCCUGUGUAGCGGUGAAAUGCGUAGAUAUA